rfam:Oryza nivara chromosome 8, whole genome shotgun sequence.
AAAAAGAUAAACCCUAGUUUUCAUAUCCAAUGUUUAACCAUCCGUCUUAUUUAGAAAAAAUAUAAAAAAAUAAUUAAAAAGACAAGUCACGCAUAAAAUAUUAAUCAUGUUUUAUCUCUAACAACAAUAAAAAUAUAAAUUAUAAAAAGUUUUUAUAUAAGACGGACAGUUAAAGUUGAACACGGAAACCUAUAGUUUGUCUUUUA